CAGUCGCCGCGGGAAUACGUAGGUGGCAAGCGUUGUCCGGAAUUAUUGGGCGUAAAGGGCUCGCAGGCGGUUUCUUAAGUCUGAUGUGAAAGCCCCCGGCUCAACCGGGGAGGGUCAUUGGAAACUGGGAAACUUGAGUGCAGAAGAGGAGAGUGGAAUUCCACGUGUAGCGGUGAAAUGCGUAGAGAUGUGGAGGAACACCAGUGGCGAAGGCGACUCUCUGGUCUGUAACUGACGCUGAGGAGCGAAAGCGUGGGGAGCGAACAGGAUUAGAUACCCCUGCAGUCCCUGUCUCUUAUAA
rnacentral:rRNA from 1 species